UGCGUAGGCGGCGGCUCCAGUCAGGUGUGAAAUCCCCCGGCUCAACCGGGGAACAGCGCUUGAAACUAGGUCGCUCGAGUGAGGCAGGGGUGUAUGGAACUUCCGGUGGAGCGGUGAAAUGUGUAGAGAUCGGAAGGAACGCCGGCGGCGAAAGCGGUACACUGGGCCUUGUCUGACGCUGAGGCACGAAAGCUAGGGGAGUGAACGGGAUUAGAUACCCCGGUAAUCCUAGCCGUAAACACUGAGCACUGGAGGGGAGGGGCUUCGGCCUUUUCCCUCGCAGCGAAAGCGUUAAGUGCUCCGCCUGGGGAGUAUGGUCGCAAGGCUGAA
rnacentral:rRNA from 1 species